rnacentral:rRNA from 1 species
UACAGAGGGGGCAAGCGUUGUUCGGAAUUACUGGGCGUAAAGGGCGCGUAGGCGGCCUUCUAAGUCGAACGUGAAAUCCCCGGGCUCAACCCGGGAACUGCGUCCGAUACUGGAAGGCUUGAAUCCGGGAGAGGGAUGCGGAAUUCCAGGUGUAGCGGUGAAAUGCGUAGAUAUCGGAAGGAACAUCAGUGGCGAAAGCGACUUCCUGGACCAGUACCGACGUUCAGGCACGAAAGCGUGGGGAGCAAACAGG